UACGUAGGGGGCAAGCGUUGUCCGGAUUCAUUGGGCGUAAAGAGCGUGUAGGCGGCCCGGUAGGUCGGUUGUGAAAACUGGAGGCUCAACCUUCAGAGGUCGACCGAAACUAUCUGGCUAGAGUCCGGGAGAGGAGAGUGGAAUUCCUGGUGUAGCGGUGAAAUGCGCAGAUAUCAGGAAGAACACCAGUGGCGAAAGCGGCUCUCUGGAACGGUACUGACGCUGAGACGCGAAAGCGUGGGGAGCGAACAGG
rnacentral:rRNA from 1 species